AACGAACGCUGGCGGCAUGCCUAACACAUGCAAGUCGAACGAAUCUGAUGGGAGCUUGCUCCCUGAAGAUUAGCGGCGGACGGGUGAGUAACACGUGGGUAACCUGCCUGUAAGACUGGGAUAACUCCGGGAAACCGGGGCUAAUACCGCAUAAGACCACAGAGCCGCAUGGCUCGGGGGUCAAAGGAGAAAUCCGCUGAAGGAUGGCCUCGCGUCCGAUUAGCUAGUUGGCGGGGUAACGGCCCACCAAGGCGACGAUCGGUAGCCGGACUGAGAGGUUGAACGGCCACAUUGGGACUGAGAUACGGCCCAG
rnacentral:rRNA from 1 species